GACGAACGCUGGCGGCGUGCCUAAUACAUGCAAGUCGAGCGAGACUCUUCGGAGUCUAGCGGCGGACGGGUGAGUAACACGUGGGCAACCUGCCUGUAAGACUGGGAUAACACCGGGAAACCGGUGCUAAUACCGGAUAAUCCUUUUCCUCUCAUGAGGAAAGGCUGAAAGUCGGUUUCGGCUGACACUUACAGAUGGGCCCGCGGCGCAUUAGCUAGUUGGUGAGGUAACGGCUCACCAAGGCGACGAUGCGUAGCCGACCUGAGAGGGUGAUCGGCCACACUGGGACUGAGACACGGCCCAGACUCCUACGGGAGGCAGCAGUAGGGAAUCUUCCACAAUGGACGAAAGUCUGAUGGAGCAACGCCGCGUGAGCGAUGAAGGCCUUCGGGUCGUAAAGCUCUGUUGUUAGGGAAGAACAAGUACCGGAGUAACUGCCGGUACCUUGACGGUACCUAACCAGAAAGCCACGGCUAACUACGUGCCAGCAGCCGCAGUAAUAC
rnacentral:rRNA from 1 species